rnacentral:rRNA from 1 species
AGCAGGCGCGAAACCUUUACACUGCACGCAAGUGCGAUAAGGGACCCGAGUGCGAGGGCAUACAGUCCUCGCUUUUCAGUACCGUAGGGAGGUACUGGAAUAAGAGCUGGGCAAGACCGGUGCCAGCCGCCGCGGUAAUACCGGCAGCUCGAGUGAUGGCCGAUCUUAUUGGGCCUAAAGCGUUCGUAGCCGGCCACGCAAGUCCAUCGGGAAAUCCGCCAGCCCAACUGGCGGGCGUCCGGUGGAAACUGUGUGGCUUGGGACCGGAAGACCCGAAGGGUACGUCUUGGGUAGGAGUGAAAUCCCGUAAUCCUGGACGGACCGCCGAUGGCGAAAGCACUUCGGGAAGACGGAUCCGACGGUGAGGGACGAAAGCCAGGGUCUCGAACCGGAUUAGAUACCCGGGUAGUCCUGGCCGUAAACGAUGUCUGCUAGGUGUGACUCCCGCUACGAGCGGGUGUUGUGCCGUAGGGAAGCCGCUAAGCAGACCGCCUGGGAAGUACGUCCGCAAGGAUGAAACUUAAAGGAAUUGGCGGGGGAGCACUACAACCGGAGGAGCCUGCGGUUUAAUUGGACUCAACGCCGGACAUCUCACCAGCAUCGACAGCAGCAAUGACGAUCAGGUUGAUGACCUUGUCAGAGCUGUUGAGAGGAGGUGCAUGGCCGCCGUCAGCUCGUACCGUGAGGCGUCCUGUUAAGUCAGGCAACGAGCGAGACCCGCACUCCUAAUUGCCAGCACCGGGUUCGCCCGGGUGGGUACAUUAGGAGGACUGCCGUGGCCAACACGGAGGAAGGAACGGGCAACGGUAGGUCAGUAUGCCCCGAAUGUGCUGGGCUACACGCGGGCUACAAUGGCCGAGACAAUGGGUUCCAACCUCGAAAGAGGACGGUAAUCUCCUAAACUCGGUCGUAGUUCGGAUUGAGGGCUGAAACCCGCCCUCAUGAAGCUGGAUUCGGUAGUAAUCGCGUGUCAGCAGCGCGCGGUGAAUACGUCCCUGCUCCUUGCACACACCGCCCGUCAAAGCACCCGAGUGGGGUCCGGAUGAGGCCGAGUCCUCGGUCGAA